AUCGCUUCUCGGCUCACCGAGCUUAGAUUAAGUGUAGUAUCUGUUCUUCUCAGGUUAGUACCCUGUGACGGAAACGAUUCGUUUCCUCUAUGUAUUAAUCGGAUUUUUGAAAUUGGAGUACGGUGCUGGAGCUUGCUC
rfam:Ciona savignyi cont_50431, whole genome shotgun sequence.